rnacentral:rRNA from 1 species
GACGAACGCUGGCGGCGUGCUUAACACAUGCCAGUCGAACGGAAAGGCCCUGCUUUUGUGGGGUGCUCGAGUGGCGAACGGGUGAGUAACACGUGAGUAACCUGCCCUUGACUUUGGGAUAACUUCAGGAAACUGGGGCUAAUACCGGAUAGGAGCUCCUGCUGCAUGGUGGGGGUUGGAAAGUUUCGGCGGUUGGGGAUGGACUCGCGGCUUAUCAGCUUGUUGGUGGGGUAGUGGCUUACCAAGGCUUUGACGGGUAGCCGGCCUGAGAGGGUGACCGGCCACAUGGGGACUGAGAUACGGCCCAGAGUCCUACGGGAGGCAGCAGUGGGGAAUAUGGCACAAUGGGCGGAAGCCUGAUGCAGCAACGCCGCGGGCGGGAUGACGGCCUUCGGGUUGUAAACCGCUUUCGCCUGUGACGAAGCGUGAGUGACGGUAAUGGGUAAAGAAGCACCGGCUAACUACGUG